AUGAAAAAUGUAACCCAUUCUUUCAUUUUUUUAGCUCACUGGCCAUCCGCUGGCAGUUUCGGGCUUAAUACCGAAAUUUUAGCAACAAAUCUAGUAAAUCUAACUGUAGUGGUUGGUGUUUUGAUUUUUUUUGGAAAGGGAGUGUAUUUAUUAGAUAAUCAAAAACAGAGGAUCUUGAGUACUAUUCGAAAUUCAGAAGAAUUGCGUAGAGGGACCAUUGAGCAACUCGAAAAAGCUCGGAUUCGAUUACAGAAAGUCGAACUAGAAGCGGAUGAGUAUCGAAUGAAUGGAUACUCUGAGAUAGAACGAGAAAAAGCAAAUUUGAUUAAUGCUACUUCUAUUAGUUUGGAACAAUUGGAAAAGUCUAGAAACGAAACCCUUUAUUUUGAAAAACAAAGGGCAAUGAAUCAGGUUCGACAACGGGUUUUCCAACAGGCCGUACAAGGAGCUCUAGGAACUCUGAAUAGUUGUUUGAAUACCGAGUUACAUUUCCGUACGAUUCGUGCUAAUAUUGACAUUCUCGGGUCCCUGGAAUGGAAGAGAUAA
rnacentral:rRNA from 1 species